UACGGAGGAUGCGAGCGUUAUCCGGAUUUAUUGGGUUUAAAGGGUGCGUAGGCGGCUUUUUAAGUCAGCGGUGAAAUUUUGCAGCUUAACUGUAACAGUGCCGUUGAUACUGGGGAGCUAGGAUUUGGUUGCUGUGGGUGGAAUGUGUGGUGUAGCGGUGAAAUGCAUAGAUAUUACACAGAACACCGAUUGCGAAGGCAUCUCACAAAGCCGUUAUUGACGCUGAGGCACGAAAGUGUGGGGAUCAAGCAGGAUUAGA
rnacentral:rRNA from 1 species